GUCUGUGUGUGAACGUGGUUGCUUAUCCUGCGGCAGCAAUAGCAACCGUGGGAGAAUCUCCUACAGAAAACAACGGGUCUGUGGCUUGUGUUUUCCUGUAAUAGUGCACAAGCUCUUAGGCUCAGGGCUUAGGAGGAAAACACCGUGAGCCCCUGUGGGCGCCACUGCUCUCUCUGCAAAGAGAGAGCCUGUUUUCUUCUGGUCAUGUUUGACAUAUGCAAUAAGAACACUUUGCUUUCAAUCUAUUCAAGCAAGCGCUUGCUGCAGCGGUGAGGAGAUCUCUUUUGACGGACACAGUUGAAAGAGAGAUCCUGGCGAGUGGCUUCUGAAAGAAAACACGCUGUAACAAGGACACCACAGGCGCUAGAAACCAAAGUAAUCCCACUGCAAGAGGAGCCAAAGUCUCACUAAGGAUGGCAAAUAGCCCUCCUGCUCCUGAGAGGGAAGGGAGGCUCGGUUCCCCCAGAAGGAAGCCCAUCAGUACUCCCUUAGAAUCUACUGAUGGCACCUUGGACAUCCACUGAAGAUCAACACUCACCAAGUGUCUGCUCAGCAAUCUGCUUGGGCCGUUAGUACAGAGAGUGAACUGGGGAGAGGAUG
rnacentral:lncRNA from 1 species